AACGAACGCUGGCGGCACGCCUAACACAUGCAAGUCGAACGAAGCAUAAGAGCUUGCUCUUAUGACUGAGUGGCGCACGGGUGAGUAACACGUGGGAAUCUGCCUAUUGGUGGGGAAUAACUUUUGGAAACGAAAGCUAAUACCGCAUAAGCCCUAAGGGGGAAAGAUUUAUCGCCAAUAGAUGAGCCAGCGCUAGAUUAGCUAGUUGGUGUGGUAAGAGCUCACCAAGGCUACGAUCUAUAGCUGGUCUGAGAGGAUGGUCAGCCACACUGGGACUGAGACACGGCCCAGACUCCUACGGGAGGCAGCAGUGGGGAAUAUUGGACAAUGGGGGAAACCCUGAUCCAGCGAUGCCGCGUGAGUGAAGAAGGCCUUCGGGUUGUAAAGCUCUUUCAGAGGGGAUGAUAAUGACGGUACCCUCAGAAGAAGCACCGGCUAACUUCGUGCCAGCAGCCGCCGUAA
rnacentral:rRNA from 1 species